rnacentral:lncRNA from 1 species
UUUAGAGUUAACAGUUGCUAUAGCCCGCUGUAGAAAUGGGGGUGGGAGACCCAGUCGAAAAUUGCGUGAUCUAGCACAUGAUGAAGUCAUUAAACAGAAAAGAAUGCACUUAUUCAACCCUGUUAACAGGUCAGAUAAUUUGUGUUUUGCCAUGUGUUUAGCAAAUUAUCUAAACCCCCAUAGUACGUCAAACAGAUUAGAGGCUAUUGCAACAGACAUGCAGAUGCGUGCAGGCUUCACCCCACAGCAGAAGAUUGGUUUUAGUGAUAUUGCCAUAUUCGAGGCCCUGUACAGUGUUAAAGUGGUGGUCUUCUACCGCGGAGCUGAUGCCAAAUUACUACAUUAUCAGACCGACGAGAAACCCAAUGAUGUCAUAGCUCAUUUAUACCUACACAACGAGCAUUAUCAUGGCAUUCUGAAUCUGCAGGGUUUCAUGGGUGUAUCGCAGGUCUGUAAGUUUUGUUACGUUGGUUACAGAGACAGCAUGUACCACCGGUGUAAAUACAUAUGUGAUGUGUGUCACGAUGUUGAUUGUCAUAGGAUGGGUGGGGGGUUCAGACAUUGUGGUGAUUGCAACCGUUAUUGCAAGUCUGCUUACUGUUUUCAGAAGCACAAACAACAAGUCCCCAGGGGUCGUACAGGUGUUUUAGCAGCCCCUUGUGAUAUCACUAAAUAUUGCAAGACCUGUCACAGACGCUAUAUGCUGUCUGUGGAGCAACCUAAACCACAUAGGUGUGCCCAAGCGGUGUGUCACCAUUGCAGGUUGAGGUUGACCCCCGGUGAUAACCACACGUGCUACAUACAACCUGUCAAACACCAAACGGUCGACAACAGAUAUAUAUUCUAUGAUUUUGAGACACGCCAUGAAGAUGGUAAGCAUAGGGCUAAUUUUGCGUGCGCCAUAACCUGUGGUGGUUAUGAGUUUACAGCUGAGGGGUAUGGUUGUGUAGGCAAGCUUUUAAACCAUUUUAGAUGUUCCAAGUACAUUGGACAUACAUGGGUGGCCCACAAUGCCGGAGGGUUUGAUAAUAUAUUGCUUCUGGAGCAGUUCACUAGGAUUGGGGUCACCCCACAUGUGAUAAUGGGAGGGUGCAGGGUCACAUAUAUGUAUGAGGAGCGCU